GAAAUGACUCUCGGCAACGGAUAUCUCGGCUCU
rnacentral:rRNA from 2 species